rnacentral:rRNA from 1 species
GACGAACGCUGGCGGCGUGCCUAAUACAUGCAAGUCGAACGCAUUUUCUUUCACCGUAGCUUGCUACACCGAAAGAAAAUGAGUGGCGAACGGGUGAGUAACACGUGGGUAACCUGCCCAUCAGCGGGGGAUAACACUUGGAAACAGGUGCUAAUACCGCAUAAUUCCAUUUACCGCAUGGUAGAUGGAUGAAAGGCGCUUUUGCGUCACUGAUGGAUGGACCCGCGGUGCAUUAGCUAGUUGGUGGGGUAACGGCCUACCAAGGCUGCGAUGCAUAGCCGACCUGAGAGGGUGAUCGGCCACACUGGGACUGAGACACGGCCCAG